rnacentral:rRNA from 1 species
GACGAACGCUGGCGGCGUGCUUAACACAUGCAAGUCGAACGGAAAGGCCCUGCUUUUGUGGGGUGCUCGAGUGGCGAACGGGUGAGUAACACGUGAGUAACCUGCCCUUGACUUUGGGAUAACUUCGGGAAACUGGGGCUAAUACCGGAUAGGAGCUCCUGCUGCAUGGUGGGGGUUGGAAAGUUUCGGCGGUUGUGGAUGGACUCGCGGCUUAUCAGCUUGUUGGUGGGGUAGUGGCUUACCAAGGCUUUGACGGGUAGCCGGCCUGAGAGGGUGACCGGCCACAUUGGGACUGAGAUACGGACCAGACUCCUACGGGAGGCAGCAGUGGGGAAUAUUGCACAAUGGGCGGAAGCCUGAUGCAGCAACGCCGCGUGCGGGAGGACGGCCUUCGGGUUGUAAACCGCUUUCGCCUGUGACGAAGCGUGAGUGACGGUAAUGGGUAAAGAAGCACCGGCUAACUACGUG